AUUUAUAGAGAGGCCUUUCCAGAACACUGGUCACUGGAAGGAUGGACUGUUUGCUAUCCACAACAAUGGAUGCAGCGAGACGGUGUGAAUUGUGGUGUAUUUGUUUGCACUGCAGCAGAAAUGGAAGCAAAAAAAAUGAAAAUGUCCUCAGAAGUGCUGCAGCCUCGUCAACUCGUGCACCUUCGUGUUCAUCAUGCCACAAGCAUGUUAACAGAUGUGGCAAUAGAGGUAAGAUAAAGGGGAAAUAACGAGUUUCAAUAGAAUUCAGACUAAAAGAGAAUAUUAUAUUAACACAAGUUUACAUGGACAGGACUUUCCGACUGUAAUUGGAGAAAGAGAGGAAAGUGAAAUUGAAAGCAACAUCUGCAUGGCCCAGGACAUACAAGCCUGUGUUUAUCAAAACACAAGAAAAAAGUAAGUAGAAUUCAAAUAAAUAACAAUGUAGUUGUAAAUGGAUAACGAAGCUUUAAAUUUACAGUAUUUUGUGUUUUUAGAACCCUUCAUCCACACAUCAGACAAAUACAGUGGAUUCAAUGUGAUGUGUGCAACAAAUGGUUGCACACAGACUGUGCUGGUGUAGAACCUGCAACAAUUUUACCUGACUGACUUACAACUGUGGAUGUAACCAAAAACAUCCAUAUUCUUAUCAAAGGUAAGCAUCAUAAACAUAACACAAAUCAUACCAUAAUAAACUACCUUUUUAUGCAUAUGUCUGUUUUACAGCACUGUCGAAGCUUUGAAAGAGGGACUUCUGGUUGACACUGUGGUGAAGGAUGAAGAAAUUGUGGUAAUUGAACAUUUAAACUUAAUGGCAAAGAAACAUGUUUGUAUGAGUCAAUAUUUAUUUAUCAAUACUAACUUCUAUAGAUAAGCACAGUUAUUGAUAAACAACUAGUAAUAUUGUGCUGUUAAAGGACUUAUUGUUUUAAUUUUUUAGAAACUGCAUCAGGACCUCACAUCUGGUGCCUUACGUUCUCAGAGAAUGUUUCUCUUUACACAUCCUAAUUAUGCACCAAAACUAAAAAACCAGUGCAACCUACUGAUCUCAGUAUUUAACGAAAAACAGACUGAGGGAAUUAUUAACACUGUUUACAGUGUUUUGGAUUUGAAAAAAACAGAUCUGUCAAGUCCUUCUUAUGCUAUGGAAGUCAUGACCC